AUUUGUGUUAUGCUUCUCUAUAGGUUUGUUGAAAUUUAUUGCAGAUACCUAUUUAUCUAUUUCAAUGAUUGUAGGUUGUUGAGCUCAAGGUUGCGUUGGAGCUGUUAAGAGGGUUCUUGGAAAAUUAGACGGAACGCGAGGAAGAUGCUGAGGCUCUCGUCUGUUGGCCGGUAAUGUCCACUAUAAGCUGAUACAGACUGAAAAGCUGCUAGAGUCACACCACCUGCUAGGAAACUCGAAUGGUGAAACAUCCCCUUCCUUUUCUGCACCAAGACACAAGAAUAUGGAUCAAUUCCUGCUGAGGGUUAAAGAUUUUCUUAAUCUCUGACGUCGG